AUGAACAUGAACAGCAAACCACCCCCUAGCUCCUGGGAACACUUAUUGGACUAUUAUAUGCCCCAACUUUCCUUAGACUAUGUACAAAAAACCAGCAUGAAGUCUGGAACUAAAAUCCAACUUCCAUACAAUUGGUUGGUUACUGAAGAUGAAGAAGUUGAGAAUUCUGGAGCCAAGUCAAAAGAAACCGAUCUUUCUAAUCUCGGCCUUUAG